AGGAGACCAGACCCAUAACAGAGCCCAAGAAGAACUGAGAGGACGAGAAGCGAGCACACAAAUGGAGGAGCAGGCUUAAAGCCUAGAAGCACCGGAUGCAUAGACGCAAACAACACCAAAAGACAUGUCGCCUACACGCACUUAAGCCAGAGAACAAGAAGCUGACACACGACGACUUCAGGACACCGAGCACACCUGGAUUUGGAAGAGAUACUCCAAAGCAGUCCCCCAUGAGAGAGAAACAAGGGAACGGGGCAACCCUCAGGACCCCCGAGAAGGAAGCACACCGCUACUGAACCCUCUCCAAAAACACUCAGAUCUGAGAGAUAAACGGGAAAGUGAAGCACAUGACACCAGAUCUGAGUGAAAAGACGCUGCAAACCGCUCCACGCGCCACCACCUUCAGCAGACGAGCCAAAAUCGAAGAAAACUUCCGGAGCGCCAACCACAAACCCUAAAAACCGACCCCACAGAAAGUCCUCCCGCCAGAAACCCUCGCCGUGACUCCAGAGAACCGGAACGCGCCACAAGCAACCAGAUCCGCCGGCUGGAUCUAAGAUACAUGGACGGCUACGACCCCCAGAGCCCCGAGCAUAUCGGGAGAGGAGAAGAGGACCACCAAGGGGCAAAAGGAAAACGAGGGAAGGGGAAGAGGGGAUCUCCGACACAGGCGAACGGCCAGCCGAUGCCGGAAGAGAACG
rnacentral:lncRNA from 1 species